CGGUAACGCAUUUCUUUAAAACGGAAUGUGUGUGUAUAUUUCUUUAAAGCGCAUUUAUAUCUCGUUCCGCCUGUUUUAAGUGUAAUGAAACCAAGAAAAAUUUUUAGAAAACUAAAAACUAUGAUUCAUCGAAGCUAUUUGAUUAUCGACAUAAAAAGAAGCGGCGGGAUAGUAUCGGGCCGACUAAAAUCUCACGGUGGUCCGCCUGACGCCCAACAAGGAUGCCCCUGAUCUCUUUCGAAUUACUACCGGAGCACUCCUGCGUCUUCUCCCAUUCUAGAGGAGUCGUUCCUAAGUUAAUUCGGGCAUUGAGAGGGACCAGCCCUCUCAACGCCAUCCCCUGGGCCGUUGUGCAGGUCCGAGGAGAUCCCAGAACCUCUUCGACGCGUCGACCCCUAUGAAGGGCGAGUCUCAUCUUCUCCCGCUCUGUCCGGUGUCUAUGAAAAUUACUCAAUUAAAAAACACCAAUUUUGAUUAACUUUUUACAGAAUGAUAAUACCAGUAACAGAUGCAAUGAGUGACAAAAAUAAUCAAAGUUCAGUACAGCUCCAGAAAGUCCUCAUAUCCUGGAAGCUACUUUAGAUAAAAAGACCUAGGCGCUUUCAGAGAAAUGUACCUUUUAGAGAAAUUAAACUACAUCAAUAGUUUUUUGCAAAAGUCAUACAUUAUUACAGAUUUUGUACUUUCAUUGAAUCUUUUGCCCCUUGAAAGUUAAUUAUGGAUGUGCAAAAAUAUUACUCGGAUUUGUUUUAAAAACUGCUUGUAAAAAAUAUAUAAUAUGUAACAGCAUUUGCAAAUAAAUAAUUCCUCAUUGUAAAAUUUAA